UUGGCGUUAGGGUUAAAAUCACUGUCCAAAACCUUUGUAGGAACUCUUUUUCCAACCUUUUGGAGUUAGUUAGACCAAAAAAUAUGAAAAAAGAAAAAAAUAUUAUUGGGGGUUUUCGGGCUUCCUGAAAGUAAUACCCGGGUAUUAGGUUUUGGGGCUAUGGUAAGGUUUAAGUUUUUUGGCGUUAGGGUUAAAAUCACUGUCCAAAACCUUUGUAGGAACUCUUUUCCAACCUUUUGGAGUUAGUUAGACCAAAAAAAAAAAAGAAAAAUGAAAAAAAAAUAUUUGGGGUGUUCAGGCUUCCUAAAAGUAAUACCCGGGUAUUAGGUUAUAGGGCUAUGGUAAGGUUUAAGGUUUUUGGCGUUAGGGUUAAAAUCACUGUCCAAAACCUUUGUAGGAACUCUUUUCCAACCUUUUGGAGUUGGUUACAACAAAAAAAAUGUAAAAUGAAAAAAAAAAUAUUUGGGGUGUUCGGGCUUCCUGAAUGUAAUACCCGGGUAUUAGAUUUUAAGGCUAUGGUAAGGUUUAAGUUUUUUGGCGUUAGGGUUAAAAUCACUGUCCAAAACCUUUGUAGGAACUCUUUUCCAACCUUUUGGAGUUAGUUAGACCAAAAAAAAAAGAAAAAUGAAAAAAAAAUAUUUGGGGUGUUCAGGCUUCCUAAAAGUAAUACCCAGGUAUUAGGUUAUGGGGCUAUGGUAAGGUUUAAGUUUUUUGGCGUUAGGGUUAAAAUCACUGUCCAAAACCUUUGUAGGAACUCUUUUUCAACCUUUUGGAGUUAGUUAGACCAAAAAAAAAAUGAAAAAUGAAAAAAAAAAUAUUUGGGGUUUACGGGCUUCCUGAAUGUAAUACCCGGGUAUUAGAUUUUAAGGCUAGGGAAAGGUUUAAGUUUUUUGGCGUUAGGGUUAAAAUCACUGUCCAAAACCUUUGUAGGAACUCUUUUCCAACCUUUUGGAGUUAGUUAGACCAAAAAAUAUGAAAAAAGAAAAAAAUAUUAUUGGGGGUUUUCGGGCUCCCUGAAAGUAAUACCCGGGUAUUAGGUUUUGGGGCUAUGGUAAGGUUUAAGUUUUUUGGCGUUAGGGUUAAAAUCACUGUCCAAAACCUUUGUAGGAACUCUUUUCCAACCUUUUGGAGUUAGUUAGACCAAAAAAUAUGAAAAAAGAAAAAAAUAUUAUUGGGGGUGUUCAGGCUUCCUAAAAGUAAUACCCGGGUAUUAGGUUAUGGGGCUAUGGUAAGGUUUAACGUUUUGGCGUUAGGUUUAAAAUCACUGUCCAAAACCUUUGUAGGAACUCUUUUCCAACCUUUUGGAGUUAGUUAGACCAAAAAAAAAAAGAAAAAUUAAAAAAAAUAUAUUUGGGGUGUUCAGGCUUCCUAAAAGUAAUACCCGGGUAUUAGGUUAUGGGGCUAUGGUAAGGUUUAAGGUUUUUGGCGUUAGGGUUAAAAUCACUGUCCAAAACCUUUGUAGGAACUCUUUUUCAACCUUUUGGAGUUAGUUAGACCAAAAAAAAAAUGAAAAAUGAAAAAUAAAAUAUUUGGGGUGUUCAGGCUUCCUGAAGGUAAUACCCGGGUAUUAGAUUUCAAGGCUAGGGUAAGGUUUAAGUUUUUUGGCGUUAGGGUUAAAAUCACUGUCCAAAACCUUUGUAGGAACUCUUUUCCAACCUUUUGGAGUUAGUUAGACCAAAAAAUAUGAAAAAGAAAAAAAUAUUAUUGGGGGUUUUCGGGCUCCCUGAAAGUAAUACCCGUGUAUUAGGUUUUGGGACUAGGGAAAGGUUUAAGGGUUUUGGCGUUAGGGUUAAAAUCACUGUCCAAAACCUUUGUAGGAACUCUUUUCCAACCUUUUGGAGUUAGUUAGACCAAAAAAAAAUGAAAAAUUAAAAAAAAUAUAUUUGGGGUGUUCAGGCUUCCUAAAAGUAAUACCCGGGUAUUAGGUUAUGGGGCUAUGGUAAGGUUUAAGGUUUUUGGCGUUAGGGUUAAAAUCACUGUCCAAAACCUUUGUAGGAACUCUUUUCCAACCUUUUGGAGUUAGUUAGACCAAAAAAAAAUGAAAAAUGAAAAAAAAAAUUAUUUGGGGUUUACGGGCUUCCUGAAUGUAAUACCCGGGUAUUAGAUUUUAAGGCCAGGGAAAGGUUUAAGUUUUUUGGCGUUAGGGUUAAAAUCACUGUCCAAAACCUUUGUAGGAACUCUUUUCCAACCUUUUGGAGUUAGUUAGACCAAAAAAUAUGAAAAAAGAAAAAAAUAUUAUUGGGGGUGUUCAGGCUUCCUAAAAGUAAUACCCGGGUAUUAGGUUAUGGGGCUAUGGUAAGGUUUAAGGUUUUUGGCGUUAGGUUUAAAAUCACUGUCCAAAACCUUUGUAGGAACUCUUUUCCAACCUUUUGGAGUUAGUUAGACCAAAAAAAAAAUGAAAAAUUAAAAAAAAUAUAUUUGGGGUGUUCAGGCUUCCUAAAAGUAAUACCCGGGUAUUAGGUUAUGGGGCUAUGGUAAGGUUUAAGGUUUUUGGCGUUAGGGUUAAAAUCACUGUCCAAAACCUUUGUAGGAACUCUUUUUCAACCUUUUGGAGUUAGUUAGACCAAAAAAAAAAUGAAAAAUGAAAAAAAAAAUAUUUGGGGUUUACGGGCUUCGUGAAUGUAAUACCCGGGUAUUAGAUUUUAUGCCAGGGAAAGGUUUAAGUUUUUUGGCGUUAGGGUUAAAAUCACUGUCCAAAUCCUUUGUAGGAACUCUUUUCCAACCUUUUGGAGUUAGUUAGACCAAAAAAAAAAAUGAAAAGUGAAAAAAAAAAUAUUUGGGGUUUACGGGCUUCCUGAAUGUAAUACCCGGGUAUUAGAUUUUAAGGCCAGGGAAAGGUUUAAGUUUUUUGGCGUUAGGGUUAAAAUCACUGUCCAAAACCUUUGUAGGAACUCUUUUCCAACCUUUUGGAGUUAGUUAGACCAAAAAAAAAAGAAAAAUGAAAAAAAAAUAUUUGGGGUGUUCAGGCUUCCUAAAAGUAAUACCCGGGUAUUAGGUCAUGGGGCUAUGGUAAGGUUUAAGGUUUUUGGCGUUAGGGUUAAAAUCACUGUCCAAAACCUUUGUAGGAACUCUUUUUCAACCUUUUGGAGUUAGUUAGACCAAAAAAAAAAUGAAAAAUGAAAAAAAAAUAUUUGGGGUUUACGGGCUUCCUGAAUGUAAUACCCGGGUAUUAGGUUAUGGGGCUAUGGUAAGGUUUAAGGUUUUUGGCGUUAGGGUUGAAAUCACUGUCCAAAACCUUUGUAGGAACUCUUUUUCAACCUUUUGGAGUUAGUUAGACCAAAAUAAAAAUGAAAAAUGAAAAAAAAAAUAUUUGGGGUUUACGGGCUUCAUGAAUGUAAUACCCGGGUAUUAGAUUUUAAGGCCAGGGUAAGGUUUAAGUUUUUUGGCGUUAGGGUUAAAAUCACUGUCCAAAACCUUUGUAGGAACUCUUUUCCAACCUUUUGGAGUUAGUUAGACCAAAAAAAAAAGAAAAAUGAAAAAAAAAUAUUUGGGGUGUUCAGGCUUCCUAAAAGUAAUACCUGGGUAUUAGGUUAUAGGGCUAUGGUAAGGUUUAAGUUUUUUGGCGUUAGGGUUAAAAUCACUGUCCAAAACCUUUGUAGGAACUCUUUUCCAACCUUUUGGAGUUGGUUACAACAAAAAAAAUGUAAAAUGAAAAAAAAAAAUAUUUGGGGUGUUCGGGCUUCCUGAAAGUAAUACCCGGGUAUUAGAUUUUAAGGCCAGGGUAAGGUUUAAGUUUUUUGGCGUUAGGGUUAAAAUCACUGUCCAAAACCUUUGUAGGAACUCUUUUCCAACCUUUUGGAGUUAGUUAGACCAAAAAAAAAAGAAAAAUGAAAAAAAAAUAUUUGGGGUGUUCAGGCUUCCUAAAAGUAAUACCCGGGUAUUAGGUUAUGGGGCUAUGGUAAGGUUUAAGUUUUUUGGCGUUAGGGUUAAAAUCACUGUCCAAAACCUUUGUAGGAACUCUUUUCCAACCUUUUGGAGUUAGUUAGACCAAAAAAUAUGAAAAAAGAAAAAAAUAUUAUUGGGGGUUUUCGGGCUUCCUGAAAGUAAUACCCGGGUAUUAGGUUUUGGGGCUAUGGUAAGGUUUAAGGUUUUUGGCGUUAGGGUUAAAAUCACUGUCCAAAACCUUUGUAGGAACUCUUUUCCAACCUUUUGGAGUUAGUUAGACCAAAAAAUAUGAAAAAAGAAAAAAAUAUUAUUGGGGGUUUUCGGGCUCCCUGAAAGUAAUACCCGGGUAUUAGGUUAUGGGGCUAUGGUAAGGUUUAAGUUUUUUGGCGUUAGGGUUAAAAUCACUGUCCAAAACCUUUGUAGGAACUCUUUUCCAACCUUUUGGAGUUAGUUAGACCAAAAAAAAAAGAAAAAUGAAAAAAAAAUAUUUGGGGUUUACGGGCUUCCUGAUUGUAAUACCCGGGUAUUAGAUUUUAAGGCCAGGGAAAGGUUUAAGUUUUUUGGCGUUAGGGUUAAAAUCACUGUCCAAAACCUUUGUAGGAACUCUUUUCCAACCUUUUGGAGUUAGUUAGACCAAAAAGUAUGAAAAAAGAAAAAAAUAUUAUUGGGGUUUUCGGGCUCCUGAAAGUAAUACCCGGGUAUUAGGUUUUGGGGCUAUGGUAAGGUUUAAGUUUUUUGGCGUUAGGUUUAAAAUCACUGUCCAAAACCUUUGUAGGAACUCUUUUCCAACCUUUUGGAGUUAGUUAGACCAAAAAAAAAAGAAAAAUGAAAAAAAAAAUAUUUGGGGUGUUCAGGCUUCCUAAAAGUAAUACCCGGGUAUUAGGUUAUGGGGCUAUGGUAAGGUUUAAGGUUUUUGGCGUUAGGGUUAAAAUCACUGUCCAAAACCUUUGUAGGAACUCUUUUCCAACCUUUUGGAGUUAGUUAGACCAAAAAAUAUGAAAAAAAGAAAAAAAUAUUAUUGGGGGUUUUCGGGCUCCCUUAAAGUAAUACCCGGGUAUUAGGUUUUGGGGCUAUGGUAAGGUUUAAGUUUUUUGGCGUUAGGGUUAAAAUCACUGUCCAAAACCUUUGUAGGAACUCUUUUCCAACCUUUUGGAGUUAGUUAGACCAAAAAAAAAUGAAAAAUGAAAAAACAAUAUUUGGGGUUUUCGGGGUUCCUGAAUGUAAUACCCGGGUAUUAGAUUUUAAGGCUAGGGUAAGGUUUAAGUUUUUUGGCAUUAGGGUUCAAAUCACUGUCCAAAACCUUUGUAGGAACUCUUUUCCAACCUUUUGGAGUUAGUUAGACCAAAAAGUAUGAAAAAAGAAAAAAAUAUUAUUGGGGGUUUUCGGGCUCCCUGAAAGUAAUACCCGGGUAUUAGGUUUUGGGGCUAUGGUAAGGUUUAAGUUUUUUGGCGUUAGGGUUAAAAUCACUGUCCAAAACCUUUGUAGGAACUCUUUUCCAACCUUUUGGAGUUAGUUAGACCAAAAAAUAUGAAAAAAGAAAAAAAUAUUAUUGGGGGUUUUCGGGCUCCCUGAAAGUAAUACCCGGGUAUUAGGUUUUGGGGCUAUGGUAAGGUUUAAGGUUUUUGGCAUAAGGGUUAAAAUCCCUGUCCAAAACCUUUGUAGGAACACUUUUCCAACCUUUUGGAAUUAGAUAAACCAAAAAAAUAUGAAAAAUGAAAAAAUAUAUAUUUGGGGUUUCCGGGCUUCCUGAAUGUAAUACCCGGGUAUUAGAUUUUAAGGCUAGGGUAAGGUUUAAGUUUUUUGGCGUUAGGGUUAAAAUCACUGUCCAAAACCUUUGUAGGAACUCUUUUCCAACCUUUUGGAGUUAGUUAGACCAAAAAAUAUGAAAAAAGAAAAAAAUAUUAUUGGGGGUUUUCGGGCUCCCUGAAAGUAAUACCCGGGUAUUAGGUUUUGGGGCUAUGGUAAGGUUUAAGGUUUUUGGCGUUAGGGUUAAAAUCACUGUCCAAAACCUUUGUAGGAACUCUUUUCCAACCUUUUGGAGUUAGUUAGACCAAAAAAAAAUGAAAAAUGAAAAAAUAUAUAUUUGGGGUUUCCGGGCUUCCUGAAUGUAAUACCCGGGUAUUAGAUUUUAAGGCUAGGGUAAGGUUUAAGUUUUUUGGCAUCAGGGUUAAAAUCACUGUCCAAAACCUUUGUAGGAACUCUUUUCCAACCUUUUGGAGUUAGUUAGACCAAAAAGUAUGAAAAAAGAAAAAAAUAUUAUUGGGGGUUUUCGGGCUCCCUGAAAGUAAUACCCGGGUAUUAGGUUUUGGGGCUAUGGUAAGGUUUAAGUUUUUUGGCGUUAGGGUUAAAAUCACUGUCCAAAACCUUUGUAGGAACUCUUUUCCAACCUUUUGGAGUUAGUUAGACCAAAAAAUAUGAAAAAAGAAAAAAAUAUUAUUGGGGGUUUUCGGGCUCCCUGAAAGUAAUACCCGGGUAUUAGGUUUUGGGGCUAUGGUAAGGUUUAAGUUUUUUGGCGUUAGGGUUAAAAUCACUGUCCAAAACCUUUGUAGGAACUCUUUUCCAACCUUUUGGAGUUAGUUAGACCAAAAAAAAAGAAAAAUUAAAAAACAAUAUUUGGGGUUUUCGGGGUUCCUGAAUGUAAUACCCGGGUAUUAGGUUUUAAGGCUAGGGUAAGGUUUAAGUUUUUUGGCAUUAGGGUUAAAAUCACUGUCCAAAACCUUUGUAGGAACUCUUUUCCAACCUUUUGGAGUUAGUUAGACCAAAAAAAAAAUGAAAAAUGAAAAAACAAUAUUUGGGGUUUUCGGGGUUCCUGAAUGUAAUACCCGGGUAUUAGAUUUUAAGGCUAGGGUAAGGUUUAAGUUUUUUGGCAUCAGGGUUAAAAUCACUGUCCAAAACCUUUGUAGGAACUCUUUUCCAACCUUUUGGAGUUAGUUAGACCAAAAAAAAUAUGAAAAAAGAAAAAAAUAUUAUUGGGGGUUUUCGGGCUCCCUGAAAGUAAUACCCGGGUAUUAGGUCAUGGGGCUAUGGUAAGGUUUAAGUUUUUUGGCGUUAGGGUUAAAAUCACUGUCCAAAACCUUUGUAGGAACUCUUUUCCAACCUUUUGGAGUUAGUUAGACCAAAAAAAAAAAAGAAAAAUGAAAAAAAAAUAUUUGGGGUUUACGGGCUUCCUGAAUUGUAAUACCCGGGUAUUAGAUUUUAAGGCCAGGGAAAGGUUUAAGUUUUUUGGCGUUAGGGUUAAAAUCACUGUCCAAAACCUUUGUAGGAACUCUUUUCCAACCUUUUGGAGUUAGUUAGACCAACAAAAAUGUAAAAUGAAGAAAAAAAUAUUUGGGGUGUUCAGGCUUCCUGAAGGUAAUACCCGGGUAUUAGAUUUCAAGGCUAGGGUAAGGUUUAAGGUUUUUGGCGUUAGGGUUAAAAUCACUGUCCAAAACCUUUGUAGGAACUCUUUUCCAACCUUUUGGAGUUAGUUAGACCAAAAAAAAAAAGAAAAAUGAAAAAAAAAUAUUUGGGGUGUUCAGGCUUCCUAAAAGUAAUACCCGGGUAUUAGGUUAUGGGGCUAUGGUAAGGUUUAAAGUUUUGGCGUAAGGGUUUAAAAUCACUGUCCAAAACCUUUGUAGGAACUCUUUUCCAACCUUUUGGAGUUAGUUAGACCAAAAAAAAUGAAAAAUUAAAAAAAAUAUAUUUGGGGUGUUCAGGCUUCCUAAAAGUAAUACCCGGGUAUUAGGUUAUGGGGCUAUGGUAAGGUUUAAGGUUUUUGGCGUUAGGGUUAAAAUCACUGUCCAAAACCUUUGUAGGAACUCUUUUUCAACCUUUUGGAGUUAGUUAGACCAAAAAAAAAAAAAGAAAAAUGAAAAAAAAAAUAUUUGGGGUUUACGGGCUUCCUGAAUGUAAUACCCGGGUAUUAGAUUAUGGGGCUAUGGUAAGGUUUAAGUUUUUUGGCGUUAGGGUUAAAAUCACUGUCCAAAACCUUUGUAGGAACUCUUUUCCAACCUUUUGGAGUUAGUUAGACCAAAAAAAAAAAGAAAAAUGAAAAAAAAAUAUUUGGGGUGUUCAGGCUUCCUAAAAGUAAUACCCGGGUAUUAGGUUAUGGGGCUAUGGUAAGGUUUAACGUUUUGGCGUUAGGUUUAAAAUCACUGUCCAAAACCUUUGUAGGAACUCUUUUUCAACCUUUUGGAGUUAGUUAGACCAAAAAAUAUGAAAAAAGAAAAAAAAAUAUUUGGGGGUUUUCGGGCUUCCUGAAUGUAAUACCCGGGUAUUAGAUUUUAAGGCCAGGGUAAGGUUUAAGUUUUUUGGCGUUAGGGUUAAAAUCACUGUCCAAAACCUUUGUAGGAACUCUUUUCCAACCUUUUGGAGUUAGUUAGACCAAAAAGUAUGAAAAAAGAAAAAAAUAUUAUUGGGGGUUUUCGGGCUUCCUGAAAGUAAUACCCGGGUAUUAGGUUUUGGGGCUAUGGUAAGGUUUAAGUUUUUUGGCGUUAGGGUUAAAAUCACUGUCCAAAACCUUUGUAGGAACUCUUUUCCAACCUUUUGGAGUUAGUUAGACCAAAAAAAAAAAGAAAAAUGAAAAAAAAAUAUUUGGGGUGUUCAGGCUUCCUAAAAGUAAUACGUAUUAGGUUAUGGGGCUAUGGUAAGGUUUAAGGUUUUUGGCGUUAGGGUUAAAAUCACUGUCCAAAACCUUUGUAGGAACUCUUUUUCAACCUUUUGGAGUUAGUUAGACCAAAAAAAAAAUGAAAAAUGAAAAAAAAAAUAUUUGGGGUUUACGGGCUUCCUGAAUGUAAUACCCGGGUAUUAGAUUUUAAGGCCAGGGAAAGGUUUAAGUUUUUUGGCGUUAGGGUUAAAAUCACUGUCCAAAACCUUUGUAGGAACUCUUUUCCAACCUUUUGGAGUUAGUUAGACCAAAAAAUAUGAAAAAAGAAAAAAAUAUUAUUGGGGGUUUUCGGGCUCCCUGAAAGUAAUACCCGGGUAUUAGGUUUUGGGGCUAUGGUAAGGUUUAAGUUUUUUGGCGUCAGGGUUAAAAUCACUGUCCAAAACCUUUGUAGGAACUCUUUUCCAACCUUUUGGAGUUAGUUAGAACAAAAAAUAUGAAAAAAAAAAAAAAUAUUAUUGGGGGUUUUCGGGCUCCCUGAAAGUAAUACCCGGGUAUUAGGUUUUGGGGCUAUGGUAAGGUUUAAGUUUUUUGGCGUUAGGGUUAAAAUCACUGUCCAAAACCUUUGUAGGAACUCUUUUCCAACCUUUUGGAGUUAGACCAAAAAAAAAAUGAAAAAUGAAAAAACAAUAUUUGGGGUUUACGGGCUUCCUGAAUGUAAUACCCGGGUAUUAGAUUUUAAGGCUAGGGUAAGGUUUAAGUUUCUUGGCAUUAGGGUUAAAAUCACUGUCCAAAACCUUUGUAGGAACUCUUUUCCAACCUUUUGGAGUUAGUUACACCAGAAAGUAUGAAAAAAGAAAAAAAUAUUAUUGGGGGUUUUCCGUCUCCCUGAAAGUAAUACCCGGGUAUUAGGUUUUGGGGCUAGGGUAAGGUUUAAGUUUUUUGGCGUUAGGGUUAAAAUCACUGUCCAAAACCUUUGUAGGAACUCUUUUCCAACCUUUUGGAGAUAGUUAGACCAAAAAAAAAUGAAAAAUUAAAAAAAAUAUUUGGGGUUUUCGGGGUUCCUGAAUGUAAUACCCGGGUAUUAGAUUUUGAGGCUAGGGUAAGGUUUAAGUUUUUUGGCAUUAGGGUUAAAAUCACUGUCCAAAACCUUUGUAGGAACUCUUUUCCAACCUUUUGGAGUUGGUUACACCAACAAAAAUGUAAAAUGAAGAAAAAAAUAUUUGGGGUGUUCAGGCUUCCUGAAGGUAAUACCCGGGUAUUAGAUUUCAAGGCUAGGGUAAGGUUUAAGGUUUUUGGCGUUAGGGUUAAAAUCACUGUCCAAAACCUUUGUAGGAACUCUUUUCCAACCUUUUGGAGUUAGUUAGACCAAAAAAUAUGAAAAAAGAAAAAAAUAUUAUUGGGGGUUUUUGGGCUCCCUGAAAGUAAUACCCAUGUAUUAGGUUUUGGGACUAGGGAAAGGUUUAAGGGUUUUGGCAUUAGGGUUAAAAUCACUGUCCAAAACCUUUGUAGGAACUCUUUUCCAACCUUUUGGAGUUAGUUAGACCAAAAAAAAAAGAAAAAUGAAAAAAAAAUAUUUGGGGUGUUCAGGCUUCCUAAAAGUAAUACCCGGGUAUUAGGUUAUGGGGCUAUGGUAAGGUUUAACGUUUUGGCGUUAGGUUUAAAAUCACUGUCCAAAACCUUUGUAGGAACUCUUUUUCAACCUUUUGGAGUUAGUUAGACCAGAAAAAAAAAUGAAAAAUGAAAAAAAAAAUAUUUGGGGUUUACGGGCUUCCUGAAUGUAAUACCCGGGUAUUAGGUUAUGGGGCUAUGGUAAGGUUUAAGGUUUUUGGCGUUAGGGUUAAAAUCACUGUCCAAAACCUUUGUAGGAACUCUUUUUCAACCUUUUAGAGUUAGUUAGACAAAAAAAAAAAAUAUGAAAAAUGAAAAAAAAACUAUUUGGGGUUAACGGGCUUCCUGAAUGUAAUACCCGGGUAUUAGAUUUUAAGGCCAGGGAAAGGUUUAAGUUUUUUGGCGUUAGGGUUAAAAUCACUGUCCAAAACCUUUGUAGGAACUCUUUUCCAACCUUUUGGAGUUAGUUAGACCAAAAAAAAAAAGAAAAAUGAAAAAAAAAUAUUUGGGGUGUUCAGGCUUCCUAAAAGUAAUACGUAUUAGGUUAUGGGGCUAUGGUAAGGUUUAACGUUUUGGCGUUAGGGUUAAAAUCACUGUCCAAAACCUUUGUAGGAACUCUUUUUCAACCUUUUGGAGUUAGUUAGACCAGAAAAAAAAAUGAAAAAUGAAAAAAAAAAUAUUUGGGGUUUACGGGCUUCCUGAAUGUAAUACCCGGGUAUUAGAUUUUAAGGCCAGGGUAAGGUUUAAGUUUUUUGGCGUUAGGGUUAAAAUCACUGUCCAAAACCUUUGUAGGAACUCUUUUCCAACCUUUUGGAGUUAGUUAGACCAAAAAAUAUGAAAAAAGAAAAAAAUAUUAUUGGGGGUUUUCGGGCUCCCUGAAAGUAAUACCCGGGUAUUAGGUUUUGGGGCUAUGGUAAGGUUUAACGUUUUUUGGCGUUAGGGUUAAAAUCACUGUCCAAAACCUUUGUAGGAACUCUUUUCCAACCUUUUGGAGUUAGUUAGACCAAAAAAUAUGAAAAAAGAAAAAAAUAUUAUUGGGGGUUUUCGGGCUUCCUGAAGGUAAUACCCAGGUAUUAGGUUUUGGGACUGGGGAAAGGUUUAAGGUUUUUGGCAUAAGGGUUAAAAUCCCUGUCCAAAACCUUUGUAGGAACACUUUUCCAACCUUUUGGAAUUAGAUAAACCAAAAAAAAAUGAAAAAUUAAAAAAUAUAUAUUUGGGGUUUUCGGGCUUCCUGAAUGUAAUACCCGGGUAUUAGAUUUUAAGGCUAGGGUAAGGUUUAAGUUUUUUGGCGUUAGGGUUAAAAUCACUGUCCAAAACCUUUGUAGGAACUCUUUUCCAACCUUUUGGAGUUAGUUAGACCAAAAAAUAUGAAAAAAGAAAAAAAUAUUAUUGGGGGUUUUCGGGCUUCCUGAAGGUAAUACCCAGGUAUUAGGUUUUGGGACUGGGGAAAGGUUUAAGGUUUUUGGCGUUAGGGUUAAAAUCACUGUCCAAAACCUUUGUAGGAACUCUUUUCCAACCUUUUGGAGUUAGUUAGACCAAAAAAAAAUGAAAAAUUAAAAAACAAUAUUUGGGGUUUUCGGGCUUCCUGAAUGUAAUACCCGGGUAUUAGAUUUUAAGGCUAGGGUAAGGUUUAAGUUUUUUGGCGUUAGGGUUAAAAUCACUGUCCAAAACCUUUGUAGGAACUCUUUUCCAACCUUUUGGAGUUAGUUAGACCAAAAAUAUGAAAAAGAAAAAAAAAAUAUUUGGGGUGUUCGGGCUUCCUGAAGGUAAUACCCGGGUAUUAGAUUUUAAGGCUAGGGUAAGGUUUAAGGUUUUUGGCGUUAGGGUUAAAGUCACUGUCCAAAACCUUUGUAGGAACUCUUUUCCAAACUUUUGGAGUUAGACCAAAAAAAAAGAAAAAUGAAAAAAAAAUAUUUGGGGUGUUCAGGCUUCCUAAAAGUAAUACCCGGGUAUUAGGUUAUGGGGCUAUGGUAAGGUUUAAGGUUUUUGGCGUUAGGGUUAAAAUCACUGUCCAAAACCUUUGUAGGAACUCUUUUCCAACCUUUUGGAGUUAGUUAGACCAAAAAAAAUGAAAAAUGAAGAAAAAAAUAUUUGGGGUGUUCAGGCUUCCUAGAAGUAAUACCCGGGUAUUAGGUUAUGGGGCUAUGGUAAGGUUUAAGGAUUUUGGCGUUAGGGUUAAAAUCACUGUCCAAAACCUUUGUAGGAACUCUUUUCCAACCUUUUGGAGUUAGUUAGACCAAAAAAAAUGAAAAAUGAAAAAAAAAAAUAUUGGGGUUUUUCGGGCUUCCUAAAAGUAAUACCCGGGUAUUAGGUUAUGGGGCUAUGGUAAGGUUUAAGGUUUUUGGCGUUAGGGUUAAAAUCACUGUCCAAAACCUUUGUAGGAACUCUUUUUCAACCUUUUGGAGUUAGUUAGACCAAAAAGUAUGAAAAAAGAAAAAAAUAUUAUUGGGGUUUUUCGGGCUCCCUGAAAGUAAUACCCGGGUAUUAGGUUUUGGGGCUAUGGUAAGGUUUAAGUUUUUUGGCGUUAGGGUUAAAAUCACUGUCCAAAACCUUUGUAGGAACUCUUUUCCAACCUUUUGGAGUUAGUUAGACCAAAAAAAAAUGAAAAAUUAAAAAACAAUAUUUGGGGUGUUCGGGCUUCCUGAAUGUAAUACCCGGGUAUUAGAUUUUGAGGCUAGGGUAAGGUUUAAGUUUUUUGGCAUUAGGGUUAAAAUCACUGUCCAAAACCUUUGUAGGAACUCUUUUCCAACCUUUUGGAGUUAGUUAGACCAAAAAAUAUGAAAAAAGAAAAAAUAUUAUUGGGGGUUUUCGGGCUCCCUGAAAGUAAUACCCGGGUAUUAGGUUUUGGGGCUAUGGUAAGGUUUAAGUUUUUUGGCGUUAGGGUUAAAAUCACUGUCCAAAACCUUUGUAGGAACUCUUUUCCAACCUUUUGGAGUUAGUUAGACCAAAAAGUAUGAAAAAAGAAAAAAAUAUUAUUGGGGGUUUUCGGGCUCCUGAAAGUAAUACCCGGGUAUUAGGUUUUGGGGCUAUGGUAAGGUUUAAGUUUUUUGGCGUUAGGGUUAAAAUCACUGUCCAAAACCUUUGUAGGAACUCUUUUCCAACCUUUUGGAGUUAGUUAGACCAAAAAAUAUGAAAAAAGAAAAAAAUAUUAUUGGGGGUUUUCGGGCUCCCUGAAAGUAAUACCCGGGAAUUAGGUUUUGGGGCUAUGGUAAGGUUUAAGUUUUUUGGCGUUAGGGUUAAAAUCACUGUCCAAAACCUUUGUAGGAACUCUUUUCCAACCUUUUGGAGUUAGUUAGACCAAAAAAAAAAAAGAAAAAUGAAAAAAAAAUAUUUGGGGUGUUCAGGCUUCCUAAAAGUAAUACCUGGGUAUUAGGUUAUAGGGCUAUGGUAAGGUUUAAGGUUUUUGGCGUUAGGGUUAAAAUCACUGUCCAAAACCUUUGUAGGAACUCUUUUCCAACCUUUUGGAGUUGGUUACACCAAAAAAAAUGUAAAAUGAAAAAAAAAAAUAUUUGGGGUGUUCGGGCUUCCUGAAUGUAAUACCCGGGUAUUAGAUUUUAAGGCUAGGGUAAGGUUUAAGUUUUUUGGCAUUAGGGUUAAAAUCACUGUCCAAAACCUUUGUAGGAACUCUUUUCCAACCUUUUGGAGUUAGUUAGACCAAAAAAAAAAGAAAAAUGAAAAAAAAAUAUUUGGGGUGUUCAGGCUUCCUAAAAGUAAUACCCGGGUAUUAGGUUAUGGGGCUAUGGUAAGGUUUAAGUUUUUUGGCGUUAGGGUUAAAAUCACUGUCCAAAACCUUUGUAGGAACUCUUUUCCAACCUUUUGGAGUUAGUUAGACCAAAAAAAAAAUGAAAAAUGAAAAAAAAAAUAUUUGGGGUUUACGGGCUUCCUGAAUGUAAUACCCGGGUAUUAGAUUUUAAGGCUAGGGAAAGGUUUAAGUUUUUUGGCGUUAGGGUUAAAAUCACUGUCCAAAACCUUUGUAGGAACUCUUUUCCAACCUUUUGGAGUUAGUUAGACCAAAAAAUAUGAAAAAAGAAAAAAAUAUUAUUGGGGGUUUUCGGGCUCCCUGAAAGUAAUACCCGGGUAUUAGGUUUUGGGGCUAUGGUAAGGUUUAAGUUUUUUGGCGUUAGGGUUAAAAUCACUGUCCAAAACCUUUGUAGGAACUCUUUUCCAACCUUUUGGAGUUAGUAAGACCAAAAAAUAUAAAAAAAGAAAAAAAUAUUAUUGGGGGUGUUCAGGCUUCCUAAAAGUAAUACCCGGGUAUUAGGUUAUGGGGCUAUGGUAAGGUUUAACGUUUUGGCGUUAGGUUUAAAAUCACUGUCCAAAACCUUUGUAGGAACUCUUUUCCAACCUUUUGGAUUUAGUUAGACCAAAAAAAAAAAGAAAAAUUAAAAAAAAUAUAUUUGGGGUGUUCAGGCUUCCUAAAAGUAAUACCCGGGUAUUAGGUUAUGGGGCUAUGGUAAGGUUUAAGGUUUUUGGCGUUAGGGUUAAAAUCACUGUCCAAAACCUUUGUAGGAACUCUUUUCCAACCUUUUGGAGUUAGUUAGACCAAAAAAAAAAUGAAAAAUGAAAAAAAAAAUAUUUGGGGUUUACGGGCUUCCUGAAUGUAAUACCCGGGUAUUAGAUUUUAAGGCCAGGGAAAGGUUUAAGUUUUUUGGCGUUAGGGUUAAAAUCACUGUCCAAAUCCUUUGUAGGAACUCUUUUCCAACCUUUUGGAGUUAGUUAGACCAAAAAAAAAAAUGAAAAGUGAAAAAAAAAAUAUUUGGGGUUUACGGGCUUCCUGAAUGUAAUACCCGGGUAUUAGAUUUUAAGGCCAGGGAAAGGUUUAAGUUUUUGGCGUUAGGGUUAAAAUCACUGUCCAAAACCUUUGUAGGAACUCUUUUCCAACCUUUUGGAGUUAGUUAGACCAAAAAAAAAAAGAAAAAUGAAAAAAAAAUAUUUGGGGUGUUCAGGCUUCCUAAAAGUAAUACCCGGGUAUUAGGUUCAUGGGGCUAUGGUAAGGUUUAAGGUUUUUGGCGUUAGGGUUAAAAUCACUGUCCAAAACCUUUGUAGGAACUCUUUUUCAACCUUUUGGAGUUAGUUAGACCAAAAAAAAAAUGAAAAAUGAAAAAAAAAAUAUUUGGGGUUUACGGGCUUCCUGAAUGUAAUACCCGGG
rnacentral:lncRNA from 1 species